GUUUCUUCUUCCCGCCAUCAGAGAGGCCCCGAGACUCGCGGCACCCUGCACCUCAGUAUGUCCCUGAACAGUUUGGCCAGUGACUUUACAAUGAAGGAAACUGAGGCCAAAUGGGGAAGGGACUUGCCCGGAGUCACACGGAGUGGAAGGGCUGGGAUUUGAACCUGACCUGGCAGGUGUCGGUGCUCCCGAGCCUCCGUUUGCUCAUUCUGAGUUGCGUGUGUUGCUUGGAGGCCUGUGGGAAAUCUUGCACGUUUGAGUGAGGGGGUUGUUUAUCCCUCGUUCCGGCAGCAGAGGGAGGCCUGGCUCCUUGCACUGUGAGCAUCUCAGGGUCCUCGGAGCUGAUGACAGACUGCCGCUCCAGGCCUGCUCGCACACCUUUCUCCGGUCCCUGCCUCCUCUGAUCGUCCACAGCCUGGUACAUCGCCUUCUUUCCUCUACGUUGCCUUCAGUCUGGUAAACUCACUGAGCAGUGGAAUCUGGAAACUCCGGUUGACAUUCCAGGAGCCCUUGUAGGAGGAUGGCACCGCUUUCCCAAUAAUCACAGAAAACACCCUGAGGCUGAUUCUCAUUGGCCUGCUGUGCAAAGGAGGCAGACUCAGCCCCUCAUGAUGGCCCAGGCUGAAACUGGGGGCGGGUAGGAUACCCCAGAGUACAAGCAGGAUUCUGUGAUCAGAAGAGAUGGUGGAUACAGAAGAAAGAGCCACAGAGGGAGGCAUUGUCCCAUUUUACAGAUGAGGAAACUGAGGCAUGCAGAGGUGAAAUGACUUGUAACCUGAAGGAGGGUCGCUCGAUGCCUGUUUGUGGGAUGAAAGCGUGAACACGUGCCAUGUACUCUGCCAGCCUGCCAGCCCUGUGGAGCUGCUCACCUCUCCGCCUCCCGCUGACCACCUGCAGACACCACCCCACCCUCCGGCCCCCGUCGUCCCACUGCGGUCCUGCCAUGCUGGGCACGUGCAGCUUCCUGCAGACGUGGGGUUGUUCGGAGGGACAGAACUUUGCCCAGACCUCCUGGAUUCCCUGUAGGAUUCUUAUCUUACCCUUGGGGGAAAAUGAAGUCUUUUUUUGUUUGUUUCUGUUGACGCGGGAGUCACAUAAUAUACAAUUAACCAUUUUAAACUGUACAGUUCAGUAGCAUUUAGUGCAUUCACAACGCUGUGUGAUGACCAUCUCUAUGUAGUUCCAGCACAUUUCCAGCACCUCAAAAAGAAACCCUGGGGGCAGAGGGAGCCUGGGCAAAGCUUGGUAGACUGGUACAAAGUUACAAAGAUACAGUUAGGUAGGAAGGAUAAGUUCCGGUGCUCUAGAGUGACAGUUGCUAAUCAUAUUGUACAUUUCAAGAUGGGCAGUCUUUUUUGGGCUGGCUGGUUAGCUCAGUAGGUUGGAGCGCAGCCUUAUAACA